UUAAGAGUUCUUUAUUCAGAACAAAAGUCCUGUGUACAACAAGUAAUUUGCAAACAUUUCUCUCACCUUGUGGUUUGUCAGUGUCUUUCAAAGAGCAGAAAUUCUUAAUUUUGAUUAACUCGAAUUCAUCUUUUUUUGUUUUUAGAUCUCAUUUUUGGUGUUUGACCCAAGAAAUGUUUGUCUGUUUUAAGGUCACAAACAUUUUCUCCUGUUUUUCUCUAAUACAGUGUCUCACGUAAGACGGUUUCGCUUCACAGCCCUGUUGUCCAGCAGAGGGAAAACUUAAGGAACAGCUGAAAUCUGUUUCUUAUCAUCGUAUUUUCCAGAGGAUGGAGCAAGUCCUCUUGUCAUCUCUUGGCUUGGGAUCUAUCUCUGCCAUUCGUUCUGUAUGAUUUCCCUUGAGGUAAAAAUGUUGAAAGACAGCUUCAUUCCUUCCGUGCUCCAGUCCUUUGCAUAACACCUGCUCGGAAAAGGCUCAUCACUCCAGUGUGGUUAUAAGUCAUCCAAUUGUCAAGUUUUCUGGUUUCAAAUUUUAAUUUAUAAAAUAAAAAUAUUUUAUUUAAUCUUUUCAACAUACUGUAACCCAACUAUUUCAUCUGAUCUGUUAUGUCUCUUUCCUGGUGUAUCCUAUACACAUCUGGUUUUAUAAACUAUGAAGAUGGCUGCAUGCAAAACAUACAUUUUCAGAAGAUGGUGUUCAUAUAUCAUGCAGGGCACUCUGAACAGUCCUAAGCUGUGGCCAGUCACUACAAGAAGAGACUGGAAGAAUUCCUAGGAGAGAAGGACUUCAGUUGAGUUGAUGGUGGCUUUGUGCAGUGACAUAUCCCUUUCUCUAAAGAGAAAUGUUACCUGCAAUAUUCUGGCCGCAUGCCCAGUUGGUCAUUUGGGAUGCUGUCUCUCUAAAUCUGCAGCUUUAGUUACAUCCACUGUCUUAACGCACUUCCUGGCAGGAACGGUUGUGUAGAUGUGCCAGUUCAAAUAGCUGUUAUAUCUGAUAUGUGAGAAGCUGUGAUCAGGAGAGCAAAGAAAUUCUCCUAUAUGAUGCCAGUGCAGAAGUCAG